rnacentral:rRNA from 1 species
UGAACGCUGGCGGUAGGCCUAACACAUGCAAGUCGAACGGCAGCACAGUAAGAGCUUGCUCUUACGGGUGGCGAGUGGCGGACGGGUGAGGAAUACAUCGGAAUCUACUUUUUCGUGGGGGAUAACGUAGGGAAACUUACGCUAAUACCGCAUACGACCUACGGGUGAAAGCAGGGGAUCUUCGGACCUUGCGCGAUUGACUGAGCCGAUGUCGGAUUAGCUAGUUGGCGGGGUAAAGGCCCACCAAGGCGACGAUCCGUAGCUGGUCUGAGAGGAUGAUCAGCCACACUGGAACUGAGACACGGUCCAGACUCCUACGGGAGGCAGCAGUGGGGAAUAUUGGACAAUGGGCGCAAGCCUGAUCCAGCCAUACCGCGUGGGUGAAGAAGGCCUUCGGGUUGUAAAGCCCUUUUGUUGGGAAAGAAAAGCAGCAGGUUAAUACCCCGCUGUUCUGACGGUACCCAAAGAAUAAGCACCGGCUAACUUCGUG